AAUUUUAUCUGGUAGGAUGGAUCCUAUGACUAAGGGGUUUUUCCUAGUGUGAGGCUCAUCCAUUGCAGGCUGAGUGUGCUGAGUUCUGCAAAUUCCAAACAUGGGGAACUUGACUACACAUUUGUGAAGUAGGGGAUUGCUUUCCAACUUAA
rnacentral:snRNA from 1 species